rnacentral:rRNA from 1 species
AUUGAACGCUGGCGGCAGGCCUAACACAUGCAAGUCGAACGAGCGGCGGACGGGUGAGUAAUGUAUGGGGACAUGCCUGAUGGAGGGGGAUAACUACUGGAAACGGUAGCUAAUACCGCAUACCAUCAGAUGACCCCAGAUGGGAUUAGCUUGUAGGUGAGGUAACGGCUCACCUAGGCGACGAUCCCUAGCUGGUCUGAGAGGAUGAACAGCCACACUGGGACUGAGACACGGUCCAGACUCCUACGGGAGGCAGCAGUGGGGAAUAUUGCACAAUGGGCGCAAGCCUGAUGCAGCCAUGCCGCGUGUAUGAAGAAGGCCUUCGGGUUGUAAAGUACUUUCAGCGGGGAGGCGUUACCGGCAGAAGAAGCACCGGCUAACUCCGUGCCAGCAGCCGCGGUAAUAC